UGAACGCUGGCGGCGUGCCUAAUACAUGCAAGUCGAACGAGUUCUCGUUGAUGAUCGGUGCUUGCACCGAGAUUCAACAUGGAACGAGUGGCGGACGGGUGAGUAACACGUGGGUAACCUGCCCUUAAGUGGGGGAUAACAUUUGGAAACAGAUGCUAAUACCGCAUAGAUCCAAGAACCGCAUGGUUCUUGGCUGAAAGAUGGCGUAAGCUAUCGCUUUUGGAUGGACCCGCGGCGUAUUAGCUAGUUGGUGAGGUAAUGGCUCACCAAGGCGAUGAUACGUAGCCGAACUGAGAGGCUGAUCGGCCACAUUGGGACUGAGACACGGCCCAAACUCCUACGGGAGGCAGCAGUAGGGAAUCUUCCACAAUGGACGCAAGUCUGAUGGAGCAACGCCGCGUGAGUGAAGAAGGCUUUCGGGUCGUAAAACUCUGUUGUUGGAGAAGAAUGGUCGGCAGAGUAACUGUUGUCGGCGUGACGGUAUCCAACCAGAAAGCCACGGCUAACUACGUGCCAGCAGCCGCGGUAAUACGUAGGUGGCAAGCGUUAUCCGGAUUUAUUGGGCGUAAAGCGAGCGCAGGCGGUUUUUUAAGUCUGAUGUGAAAGCCCUCGGCUUAACCGAGGAAGCGCAUCGGAAACUGGGAAACUUGAGUGCAGAAGAGGACAGUGGAACUCCAUGUGUAGCGGUGAAAUGCGUAGAUAUAUGGAAGAACACCAGUGGCGAAGGCGGCUGUCUGGUCUGUAACUGACGCUGAGGCUCGAAAGCAUGGGUAGCGAACAGGAUUAGAUACCCUGGUAGUCCAUGCCGUAAACGAUGAAUGCUAGGUGUUGGAGGGUUUCCGCCCUUCAGUGCCGCAGCUAACGCAUUAAGCAUUCCGCCUGGGGAGUACGACCGCAAGGUUGAAACUCAAAGGAAUUGACGGGGGCCCGCACAAGCGGUGGAGCAUGUGGUUUAAUUCGAAGCAACGCGAAGAACCUUACCAGGUCUUGACAUCUUUUGAUCACCUGAGGGAUCAGGUUUCCCCUUCGGGGGCAAAAUGGCAGGUGGUGCAUGGUUGUCGUCAGCUCGUGUCGUGAGAUGUUGGGUUAAGUCCCGCAACGAGCGCAACCCUUAUGACUAGUUGCCAGCAUUUAGUUGGGCACUCUAGUAAGACUGCCGGUGACAAACCGGAGGAAGGUGGGGAUGACGUCAAAUCAUCAUGCCCCUUAUGACCUGGGCUACACACGUGCUACAAUGGAUGGUACAACGAGUUGCGAGACCGCGAGGUCAAGCUAAUCUCUUAAAGCCAUUCUCAGUUCGGACUGUAGGCUGCAACUCGCCUACACGAAGUCGGAAUCGCUAGUAAUCGCGGAUCAGCACGCCGCGGUGAAUACGUUCCCGGGCCUUGUACACACCGCCCGUCACACCAUGAGAGUUUGUAACACCCGAAGCCGGUGGCGUAACCCUUUUAGGGAGCGAGCCGUCUAAGGUGGGACAAAUGAUUAGG
rnacentral:rRNA from 1 species